UUAUCAGGAGCAGCAUAAAAAGGCUGUAUCAGGACGGCUGUAUUUUUAAGAGGCCUGUUUUUUUUUACCUGGACAGAAGAACAUGAAGGCGCCUGUUCGAGCAGCUUGCCGGGUUCCUGCAGAAAGAAAGCGAGUACGGGCUCAUUCCAGUUUCAUGUACAAAACUCAUAAAGAGGCUCAUCCUGCAGGGAUGAAGAAUGCAGCUUUCCUGGCCAGCCGGCAGCUCUGUUAUCCCCGACCGCUCCUGCUUAGGUUGGUGAGCUCGGAAGCGUCUCGGCUGUCAAAGAGCAACAGGCUAAAAAUCAUCACUCUACGGGAGAUUGAUGCUGCGGUCACGCUGAUACAAAAGAGGAUUUGUUCAAGAGUUGCAGCAUGAGUUUGGUUUUUUUUUUGGACUCUUACUAAACCUUGUUUUAUAUUUGUUAAUAAAUGUUAAUUUUAAAACCUAU